UUGUUUUUUUAUUCUACUUUUCGGUCCGUCUCUAUCGCACGAAAAUGGUAAGGGUUUGCCGUUGCGUGGGAAUUUUCCAGCUAUUCUUUCACUAGACUGUAACCCCCUUUUCUAUGAUUCCCUUAAAGCAUCCCCUGCAAUCUUCCUUUUUGGUGAUUUCUCCUGCUAAGAGCAGGCCUGAAGGAUGGUAGUCGAUAAAACGAUUUCAUUUCUAUCUUCACUCUUCUCAAAACCAUAAACCUAUUUGGCUACACUUAUCAUUUUAGUCCCAUCAUCGAUGCUCUGCAUUUGGUUUCAUGAUCUAGAGUUCUUCUCCUCUUAGAACUCCGUAUCACAAAUGGUGUUCCUUGAGCGGCGGCGAUUUUCACAGCUUCUUCUUCACUAGAGUCUGAUGUGAAUGGCCUUCCUCCGGUGCUUCUAUCUGACAAAUUACAAGGGCACGUGCAUUCUUUUUCCAUCGUCACCCAUCUCUCUAAUCUCGCUCUCUCGCUUCUAUGAGUUCUUUUCCCUCUUUCUUCUUCAUCAGUUUCUUUUUUUCAUCACCGUCUUUCCCAUCUCCAAUGCCUUCACUCAUGAACUUCAUGCAUCGAUAGCGAGACUCAGAGGCUCCGACUAACAACGCCUUUUGGGAAAAAAACUGAAGGUUUUAACAUUCCGAGCUCCUCCUUAGGAGAUGCAGUGAAGGAAUCCUGGGGAAUUUUUUGCAGGCGAUAGUAAAGUAGGAUAGGAUUCAUUUUAAUAGCACUCGAAAACUGCAGUGUUGAAGAGAAGGCAUCUAUUUUUGAAGAAAUCCUUCCAUAUUCAUCAAAAUUAGUGAUGGGUGCGUUUGGCAAUUAUGUAAUUUAGAAGUAUUUUGAGCAUUAAAGCCUAAAAACCUUGCAGAUCAGCUUUCUGCACAGAUUUUACCAUUAAGUUUGCCCUGUUACCCUUUUAUGUGCCUGAUGAGUUAUGAGUAUAAUUUGAAUAAUAGCUUUCUUUAACAAUUUCCAGUUUUUGUCCAGGAAUUGCCAUGUUCAUGUUGCAUUACUUAAUGAACUACUACACUCUUGAUAUAAUUUCUUUUCCUAGAUGCAAACAUUUUGACAAAAUCGUAAGAUGCUCUAGAUACAAAGAGAUUUAAUCUUACAUUUCUUUUUCUCAUGGUACAUAGGAUGUGAGAAAGAGAAUCAGUAAGACAUGUGCAUGCAUGAUCAUUUGGCAAUUAAAUUUUAGAUAAAACUGCUCACAUAAUAUAGUUCUUAAAGAUGACAUUAUUUUAUUAUAUGAUGGGGGCUUGCAUUAUACGUGCCCAUUUUGUCUUCAGGUAUAAAUCAAUUCAGAAGAGAAUAACAUAGGAAGUUUGACUGGAGAUAUAAAGAAUCUUAAAUGAUACAUUUCCAUUCAAAAAUUGGCGUGAAAAGUACUUCAUUUAAAAACAAAAAAAAAACUCACUUUUUUCUUUCUCUAUAAUUUCUGUUAUUUUCCUCUUAUGUGCAAGAGUUUUGGCAACCUCCAGUUUCUACUAUCAUGAAAUUGAAUGUGCGUUGCUUUAUUACAAAAUUUCUUGGCUUUUAAAAUGAUCUAUCUGUGACAUAAGACUAUUAAAUUUGUCUAUACAUUUAACACAAAAGGGAUGCUGUGUUUGUGCUAUAGCUAUUCAGAAUAGGGUGGGAUUUUGGUUUUUAUAGGAAGUAGCUUUGCAAUGAUUCUAGCUUUGAUGAAUGUUUAUGGUCACAUAACAUCUCCCAAACCAAGUCCUCAUACUCAAACUUAAUUUUUUUUCAGAAAUAUAAAACACACUUGGAUAAAGUUGCCUUAAUCUUUGUGUACCAAGCUAGAAAAGGCAAGUAUGCACCUUAGUAUCUCCCCAAUCAAAAUAAAUAUUUUAUUCAAAGUUACCAUUAGCUUCUGUACACUACAAUUUAUUUUCCCUAUGCAUUAGCAUGAGACUUGCCAACUUUUACUUAGAGUAUUAAUGCAACUAGCUUUCUCUUCCAUCAACUGAUACCAAUGCCAUUUUGGUGAUAUAUCGUUUCAUCUUUUUUGACAGUGGGUUUUUUAAUCUCCUGUAAAGUAUUACUGCUAUUAUCUUAAUUUGCUUGCCAUCUUUUGCUUCAUGUAAGAAAGAUGACUUCUUUUAUGUUCAUUUUAUUGGUUUAUGUGAUAAUACCAAUUUGUAGUGUGUAGGUGAAUAAGCAUUGGUUGAUGUAACAUAAAAAUAGAAAUACCAAUUUGUAGUGUGUAGGUGAAUAUUUUAUUAGUUUUUUUUAAUAUUCGACGGUCAUGGUGUUUGAAUAGUCCUCUGUUCCCGUUGUUUCUAUAUAAUGUUGGCAUCAGCAAAGAUUCGGUUGGUUUGUUUGCUAUCCUUAGUGCAAUAAUCUCCUUCUAGAGCUCACUGAUUACUCGGUUUAUCAAUGUGGUAGUUGUGGCGCCAUUCGAGGUACCCUUUCUUCAUUUUCUUCUUCUUCUUAUGUAUGUUCUGUGUUCUUUGGCUUCAAAAAUUUUGUAGAGUAGUUUUAAUUUAAAGAAAAAUUUGCCUUUUUAUUUCUAGCUUCACGACUAACAAAAAUACUUCAUCCCCAGAAUGUGGAUUUUUUGUAUAUUCAGUGAAUAGAAAUAAAUCGGUUGCUUCUUUAGUUCUACUUCCACUGUAUGUUUUAUUGUUUUAGGCUUCACAAAUUUUGCCCGGCCUUUUUUAUUCUAGGUUCAUGAUUAGGACAAUAUGCCAUUAUUGACUUUUUUAAUAUCCGAUUAAUAGGAGAUAAAUCAACAAAAUAUUGAAACGUAAGGAUGAAGUGAAGCUGGGAUAGAUUUGUAAUGUAAGAACUAAAAAACACGAUAAGCAUUUUAUUUUGUCUUUGCUUAGUUGUGUCAUCUGCCUUUUUGAUUGGGAAAUAAAGUUAUUUAUUAUGCAUAUUCAUAUAGCAGAAAGGCAUGACUUGGUUUGUCCCUUCAAAUCUUAAUAUCUCUUUGAUUCUUAUGUCUGAUUUCUCAUUUCUUAGGGACAACAUCUGAGAAGAAUGGGUUGUAAUAAUAGAUGUCUUAUCAUGACUAAUACUCAUUGUAAAUGUUAAAAUCCUGUGUAUUCCUUUCCUUUGAAAAAGAUAUUUUUCUGUCUAGCAUGUAAAGGCGUAUUUAAUUUCUCUCCCUCAAUGCUGUCAAUCUCUUGACUUAGACUUGAGAUGUUGCAGGUUUUGUUGCAGGAAAGUAAAAAGGGGUAAAGAGGAAGAGAAAAUGUUGGAAGAAGAAAAGGAUGGGUCGUGGCAGUGGCAGGGAGAGAUCUUAGAUCAUGGCUUAGCAUGGGCUUGCCUAUCAGCAUUGUUUUGAUUAGGCAAGGAAAAAGCCCAUGCUGAGUUAUUUGGUUGCUCGGAACAUAUCACCAUUGUCGUUUAGUUUUUUAGUUGGUAUAGGGUCAUUCAGAGUUACUAUCAUUGCUCUAAGUUUAGCAGGCCAGAUACUGAAUUGUGGAUUGGCAUUAUCCAGGAUCAAGAUUUCAUGAAUUUGGCAAUACAAAAAAUAACCUCUACUAAUAGAAGAAACACAAUAAAGUGAUGAAGACAGCAGUAAGCUUUUGUAUAAAGUUUUUCUUUAACACUAAUAAAGUUGUCUAAUUCAUUUUUUAGUUUAUUUUUGAUUUACAUGUAUCAAAGGUCUUUGCUCAGGUGCAAAGUUAUCAAUUACUUCUUCAUAUAAUAAAAUCGCCAUUUUCUUUUGGUGCAACACCAAUGAUCUCUGCUUCUUAUAAUACAAGACUUGGGGUUCUGUUCUAA